rnacentral:lncRNA from 1 species
CAAUAGCUUCGAAUUUACACCCAGAAAAAAUCAUUGCUUGGCAGAAAUGUGAAAUUUCAAUAGUAAUGCUGCCAGUAAGGCCCUUCUCAACAUAGCGAACAAGAGUUCUCCAACCCUGUCUUGGUGAGACUUUCUUCCCCACAACCAGGUCUAGAAAACCUUCAACGCACACCAUUAAACAUCUCGGGUGAAAAUUUUCUGAACCCUCCUGGGACACAAAUUCCUGCAUGUCACCAGCUAGUUUUAACCAAAAUGUUAGCAUGAUUCUAAGGCAAUCCUGCCAGCUUGAAUCGCAAGAAAUAAUAUUCAAGGAAUUUUUAAAGGGUAGUAUUAUAUCUAAGUAUUGCUUCAUUAUUUCCAGGACAGCUGGACAUGUCAGUGCACUUAUAUAGUUUCUGCACAUAUCAUAUGUACUCUCAAGCUCAUUUAUGAAGUGCUGAAGAUUUUCAGGACUUUCAAAAGGAAUCCUGGAUUUAGCGCUUAAUCCCAACUCUGACAACAAACUCAAUACAUGGUGUUUGUAGACAUCGCGCCAUGAUAGAAGAACCUCCGAUUCUGGAUCCCCGCAGUAGUCAACAAGAGUCUGGACCAUCUUUGCUAGUGCUUCAACAGUAUGUAUAUCAAUGUGAGACAAGACCUCACUGCUGAAACUCUCAAGGUUUAGUCCUUGCAACCCAGCAAUAUUCUUAAAGUUCAGGCCCUGUAUAAAAGAAACUCUGGAACAUUCUUGCUCAACCACCUUAUAAAAAUGAGCCAACGCAUGAGCAGCUAUAUGUGGGGGUUUUGUAUCCAUCACGGGCAACAAGUCUUUAUCUUUUCCAAGCUGCAUGUAGCAGUCAGAUAGCAAGGCAUAUAAACAAGCUAGUCGUUGUUUGUCAUGCCCAUUAAUUGCAGGGUACACUGACAAGGAGAUGGUUUUUAUUGAUUCUGCAGCACAAGCAAGCACAUUGCCUUUAAAGAUUGAAAUUUCGGCCAUUAUAUCAUCAACAGCCCAAACAUCUGAAACAAGGACAGAAGCAAGGUACUGUUGUAGCACCUGAAACGUAAACAGAGAGAAAUUAAGAUAUGACUUCCAGCAGUAUGCAUAUANACUACCAGAGUAUUAUCUGUCAUUUACGUUUGUAUUUUGCAGUAUCUAUUUUAUCUUGUGUUACUUUGUUUCUUUCUUACAGUGAUUAAUCAAAUGUAGGAAACAGACUAAUCAUGAGAUUAUAACACUAAACAUUGACAAAAUCUAAUAACCUCUAUCAUCUAACAUUGGUAGAAAUCAUAGACAAUGCAGUUUGGAUUAGAUUCCCUAAUCUGCCUUUCAACUGGGCAACAGUAUUUGCCAAAGGUUCACAGAAGUCCCUAUCUGCAGAAGCAGAUGCAUCAUCUUGAAGAACUUGAAGCUGCUGCAUUUCUAAAUAUUUCCGGAGACUGGCCUCUGCAACAUUAAUUAAACUGAGAGAUGCAUUUGUAUGCAUGAAUUUCGUGACCAGGAUCCCAGCUAGAAUCUGCUGAUCUGCCUUCACAAGCUCUGUUAUAAAACAGGGAAAAAGUAAUUUUCCGAAAAGUAACAUAAUAUAUUUCUCUUUGCUUUCUGGUUCGUAUACCCUUCUUUGUUUGAGACUAGGCAGCCGGUCUUCCUGGCACUGGCGAGAUAGAUUCCCAACAAUAUAGCAAAUAUAUGAAAAGGUGGUUCCAUAGGAAGUUUUAGUGAUGAUCUUUGUAAUGAUUCCGGAGUGCAAUGCAAGAAUUAGAAACUCAACAUCUCUAGAAAUUGCGUCUGAAAUGCCUACUUGCUUGAGUUUAUCUUCAACUGAAUCCAAACACAAUAGCUGUGUUCCAUCAUAAGGCAGCAAGAGAGCCAUCUUGAGAGCUGCAAAGCAAUCCAACUCGGCAGUAGUUUGGCUCAUGUGAAGGGUGCCAUUAUCAUCCAGCAAGAUGCCAGUAGUCUUUGCCAAGGAUCUAUCUAUCAACAUCAACAAAUCUCUAAAUCGAGAUAAUUGCACCAUCUUCUUAAAGAUCUCCAACCAACAAGCAUGCAGAGGAUGAACUACAAGCGUGUUCUCCUUCAGUUCCUUGUCCAAGGGUUCUUGAAAGCUUUCCCAUCCAUCAUCCCAAUCAUCACUGCCCCAAUUGUUUCCGGCAUCAGUUGUUUCGGUGGAAUUUGCCUCAGCUCUACCUGAUGGAAAUAGCCCUUCCCACUCUUCCAAAAUGGCUAUCAAACAAUCACAAUGGCUUCCAACUUCAGCAGCUUCACAUAAUAUCGAGAAGCAAGAAACUGCUGAUUCAACGGUCACAAGAUCUUUUGGAGUAAUCUGUAAACUGGGAGAGAUAGCAGACACCAGCUGUGACGACUUGAGGGCGACUAGAGUAUUAGCAAAUCUACUCGAAGCUUCAGUAUUAACAUUUUGCACACCAUGAUCAACGGUAGUCUCAGUGUCAGCAUCUGUUCUUUGUAAACCAUCCCACCCUUCCCAUGGAACAAUAUUGGCCUGUAUCUCAGCGGAAAAUGCCUUCAAAGUUCGACCUCUAGAUGAAAUAGAUUGCAUAAGCUCCAGGAUGUAAACUCGCACAUGGUCAGGAAGCUCCAAGUUAUCCGAGAACUUUGCCAUACUCGUCCAAACUGCUUGCCUUACCAUCUUCAGAUCCUCCAUUUCAUGUUUUACUUCACUCAAAGAUGACAAGAGAUUGGGUAGAUCUGGGUGAUUAAGGGAUGCACCAGAAGAAAGGUCUUGCAAGAUUUUUUCAAAUAUACUCAUAUAAAGAUGGCGAAGAUCUUGUGUUUCAUCACAAUAUUUCUGGCUCCCAGAGAUUGGAGUUGAGUUAGAUGGGAACUGUGACACUGCAUGAGAAUAUACAUGUGCAAUAGCUUCGAAUUUACACCCAGAAAAAAUCAUUGCUUGGCAGAAAUGUGAAAUUUCAAUAGUAAUGCUGCCAGUAAGGCCCUUCUCAACAUAGCGAACAAGAGUUCUCCAACCCUGUCUUGGUGAGACUUUCUUCCCCACAACCAGGUCUAGAAAACCUUCAACGCACACCAUUAAACAUCUCGGGUGAAAAUUUUCUGAACCCUCCUGGGACACAAAUUCCUGCAUGUCACCAGCUAGUUUUAACCAAAAUGUUAGCAUGAUUCUAAGGCAAUCCUGCCAGCUU